rnacentral:lncRNA from 1 species
GUUUGCUUUUACUUUGAGUAUUUAAAAAUACAUUUCUGUAACAUGAAUUUUCUGCCUAGUUUCAUAGUGUGCAUGCUGAUUUUACAUUUUAUGCCUUUUGACAUGAAAAGAAAUCAAGUCAAUCCAUUAAGAUAGUGUGUGUAGACUACCCUUAGCGCUAUUCACUAUUACUCUUUUUAGUGCUCAAAUUCCCACCUCAGAACUGCAGCUAGAGAUGGAUUUAUGUACCUAAAGCAAUUAUUAAAGUUUGUCAGAAAAUAAACUGGCACAGAUUUGCUGCACUGAUACAGGUAUUCUUAUUUUCCAACUUUAAGAUGCUUCCUAACAUUCUGACUUGGAAUUAAAAACAAACAAAGACAAAACAAAACCAAAAAACCUAAUGCUGUGGCUCUUCUCUCGGGUUUGCUGAUAGCAUUUACUUGAAGAACCAUAGCUUUCAAGAUGCAAUGUUCUAUGAUCAUCCCUCUUCUCCCUUCUCCACUUCCUUCCGCAUUGUUUAUUGGGAAUCACAGGCUCUAACUGGCUGUAGAAAGAGUGUUACUAAUAAGGGAUUGUAGUAUUCUGCCUCCAGGGCAGCCCCAAUACUCCCUGUUCCUUAGUAUUUACCCCAUUGUGCAAUCCCUUCCUACACUGUACAAGGAUUGAUUCAUAUAGUAGAUAACAUAUAGCAGAAAAAAUGGGAUGUAAUUUCUGAGAUUACUAAAGUUUCCAUCUUGAAUAUUUUUUCCCUCUCUUCUCUCUCUUUCCUGGAUUCUCAUUAGGGUUGAGGCCAAUUGUGGCAUCUUGAAGACACUCAGGCAGCCUAUGGAGAAACGCCUUUGAUAAGGAAUAGAAGCUUGCCAGCAGCCACUCGAGUGAGCUUAGGAGUGGGUUCACCAGCACCAGUGAAGCUUUGAGAUAACUGAUGCCCUGGCUGACCCGUUGACUGUAAUCUGAUGAGAGAUGCUGAACCAAAACCAUCCAGAUUGCCACAAAUUGUGCUGCUAAAAUCCUCAGCACUUGGUGUUAUAGUAACCUUGGAAGACAUCCUGAAGAAGACACAGAAGAUCACCACUUUGGCUCAGAAAUGACACUUACAGAUUCUGUUCACACUCAAUUGGCUGGAAGUAAUCUCAUGAUCCUGACUAGAUGUGAGAAAGCUGGGAAACCUAGUUUCUGGCUGGACAGCAGUUUCCCAACCACACAUGUACACUAUAGAAAUGGAGCAUAAAUAUUUAUUGGUUCUGUUAGUGAGUUCUGCUGCAGCUAGGUUGUACAGACUGCUUAUGUUCAAUUUUGCAAGAUAAUUACCAUUUGUUUUCUAAGAGGUGGUAACAAUUUGCACCACCAUUAGCAGUGUAAGAAUUCUAGUUGCUCUGUAUCUCAUUUAUUAUGAUAUCUUGUAAGUCACUUCAUUGUAUAAUUAUACAGAUUUGUAUUUCUUUUUGAAAUAUGUAAAUUCCUCAGAGGUGUAUAUCAAAUAAAUUAUUAAACCAUUUUGUGAUGAAGGAAUUAAAGUAUAGAUUACAUAAUCUAUUAAAGUUUGGCCAGUAGGGCCUAGACUUUAUUCUUCAUAACCUAGCCGUCUUUUCUGAGGGUUUUAGAAAUUUCCAUCAUAUGCACUGAAAGCUUUCUUAUUGUUUCUGUUUUUCCCUGUAAAUUUAAGUGCUUAGAAUAGUGCCAUAUAAAUUAUUAGCAAUCAAUACCUAUUCUUUGAAUGAAUAAAUAAAUGAAUUUCUAUGAAGCAGUCACAUUUCAAAUCUUCAUCAUCUGGUUAUAUUAUAGUCUGUUUUAUUUCAGGUCGAAUUCAUUGGUUUGUAAAUAAGAAUUGAAAAUCAUAUAUUUAAGGGACAAUUACCUCGUCAUGUAAAUGGCCAAAUAUUCCUUUUGGGGGAAUAAAAAGCAGAAGCUUAUUUAUGUCAAAGUGUGUUGCUUCUUGCUUAUUCAUUAUAGUUACUUAUUUUGAGCAAGAAAUAACUAGUUUGGCUUCCUCUAUGUGCCAUGUUUUCAUUCUUAUCUAGAGAUUAAUCAUCACUACCUGAACCACAGAAGCUUGCACAGAUAGUGCUUGUUCUCUAUGAAACUUAUGAAUCAAAUGCUACAAACAUUCUUUCUUCCUGAGAGAAAUCAGAACAGGAAAUGUCAAGUUCAUGACCAUCAAUCACACAGAAGGAGAGAGAUCAGUAUAAAUUCUAUAGAGUUUCAGAUUUGUUAGGUUUAUAAUGAAGGUUCAAAGGGAAAGGGAGUUAGGAAGUACAAGUUAGCAUGUAAUAAUGAUUGCUUUUUGCCUUUUCUUAUUAAAGCUUUUCCUAGACUAUGAAUAGUGGAUGAUUACAAAUAGUUACUUUGAUUUUCUAUAGAAAUUGCAAAACUACAUUUGUUAGGAGAAAAAAUCAACUUUGUUCUUUUAGAAUAACAUUUUUUCUUAUGUUAAAAAGGGAAAAAUAUCUUUUCUUUCUUUGUAAUAUCAAGUAUAAUUAAAGAGAGAUUUAGAUUGCUCAUGCUGAGGCUCCUACUUCCCAAUGCAUAAAUCAUGUUUUGUAGAUCAGUGAGUUUUGCAUUAUUUAAUGGUGUGGUAGCAUAAUCAUCUUAGAUCAGUUUGUUCAGCUUGCAAGGCCAUGGGUUCAGAUGUUACGGAGCAGUCAGCUUUUCUUAGUUGUAAAACAAGCCUGAAAUGGGUUGGACUGAAGGGGAGUGGCUGAUGCAUCCACCCUCCCAGAGAGAAGGGCAAUGAGAAGGCAUGAUGAGGGGCACUUUCAGGUGGAGUGAGAAGUUCUGGGACAAGAUUUUAUGAAGCCCUGGGACAAGAUUCUCCAGUGUUUUAGGGUGGUAUAUUUGUGCAAUUUCACAGGAAUGGAUAUAUGUCUUCCUGAUAAAGGUGGUACUUUGGAAACAAAUGCACCUGGUGCUGGCAUAGAUUCAGGGAGGUCAGACACUGAAGGCAUGUAGGUAUGAAUGAACAUGAGUUAAUAUUUAUUAGCCAAUUCUUGGUGAAGGGAUUAGUUUGCAUUCUCAUAUAAGGAAAGGGGGAAAGCCUUUAAUGCUCCAUCUACUACUUGGGUAGGAGACCAUCAUAGACAGCACAGGUAUCACCAAAUUCCUGCUAAGCAAGGGAGUCUGAAAAGCAUCUCACCUAGGGCCUCCUCCUGCCUCUACCAGAGGCAUAUGACAGACGCAGGUCCCAUUUAUGUUUGGAUGCAGCAUUAGUGUGUCAGGAGGAUGGUAACAGCAGUUAUCCAGUGGUGCCAAAGAAUUUUAGGUAAUUAUGCAGAUUAGUACCUUUCGUCAUGUAGCAGACUAAUGCCAAAUAGAAAAUUGCCCUGAGAGUGGUGGUGAAUGUAAGAAGCAUGUCCACUGGGAGGGACCACUUGUAAACCUCCAGCUAGAGCAUCAGGAUAUGCUUUAUUCAGUUCAGACAGACUUCUGGGGUGAUGCUUACCUCUUGGGCCAGAGCUUUCCCUGAGUGAUGCGCAGUCCGCAGGGACUCAGGUGUGAAACAUGCUGAAACAUCAUUGCUCUAGCAGGAAGGGAAAACAUCAGAAGUGGGGAAGGGAUGAGCUCUGCCUCCAUCUCUCAUGCCAGUAUGACUGGAGAAGAAAGAGACUGAAGAUCAGAGAAAAAAAAAUCCCACUUUUAAAAUUUUUCUCCUGGGAAAUGUCUCUAAAGAUAGAUUCUUAGGAAAAUGAAUACUCAAGGUUGACCUGUCAUAAAAUUGGAUAAUUGCAGCACACAGCCUUACCCUUUCUAGAAACAUUUGAAUUAUUUUCUUAUUUAAGAAGAUGCAGGGUGAAUAAGUUUAUAUAGAUGCUUGCAAAUAUUUUUUUCUACUUAUAUCUCAUGAAACAAUUCUUCAAACUCUUCACAUCUACAAAAUUGGUGUCUUUCUAGGAAGCAUGUUUUGAAUCAAUUACAUUGGUCAUAUUGCAUCAUUUCCACUUCUGUCCAGUUUGAGAAGUAGCACAGUUAAUCCAUGGGUAGUGUGGUCAUUGAAUAGCUUAUCCUAAGCUACAGGUAUCCAUUUGCAUAGCAUCAUGACAGUUUUAAUCAUUCACAGAUGUAUAUUUAUUGUCUUCACGAUGUAAGACCUACUCUUGUAUUUAUUCAUUUAUUUUUGUUUCCAGUUUUUUUCAGGUAAGGUUCAUAUAAAAUGAAAUGCAUAACUCUAUAGAGUAUAAUGUAAUAAGUUUUGAUAAAUCAGUUGAAUCAUGUAAUUCAUACCUCUAUGAAGAUGAAAAUAUUUUUAUCAUCCAAAAAUGUUAUUUUUCUAGACCUUACCACAUGAUUACACCCUCCCUAGUAUACCAGUGAUGUGAUAUUUUCCCCUCUAGUUUCCUUUUUCUAGAACUUCAUGAAAUGGAGCCAUACAGUAUGCACUCUUUUGUGUCCAGCUUCUUUUACUUAACAUAGUAUCUGUGAGAUAGUGUAUAUGAGUCAUUUUUCAUUGUUGAGUACUAUUCCAUCAUAUGAAUAUUCUACAAUUUAUUUUUCCGCUCCCUUGUUGAUGGACAUUUAUAUUAUUUCCUGUGUUUGGCUACUUUGAAUAAAUCUGCUGUGAAUAAUCUGUGCCAGUAUUUAAAGGGUAAGUUUUAUUUCUUUUGGGAAAACUUUAGGAAGAGAAUUGUUGGGUUAUUGGUGAAUGUUCAAAAUUAUUUCAAAAACUGCCAAACAGUACUCCAGCAUGGCUUUAUUUUUUUAUACCCUCAGCAACAUACAAAAAUUUUGAUUACUUUACAUUUUUGCCAACACUUAAAGUUGUUAAUCUUUUUAAUUUUGGUCAUUCUAGUAGCACUAUCUCACUAUGCUUUUAAUUGGCAUUUCCCUAAUGAUCAAUGUUAUUGAGCAAUUUUCCAUGGGCUUUUGGGCCAUUUUUAUAUCUUCUUAUAUGAAAUGCUUGUUCAAGUCUUUUUCCCUUUUAAAUUAAGUUGUUUGUCUUUCUAUUAUUGAGUUGCAGGAGUUUUAAAAUAUAUCCUGGAUAUAAAUCCAUUGUCAGAUAUAUGUUAUGCAAGUAUUUUCUCCCAGUCUGUGGCUUGACUACUCAUUUUCUUAAUAAUGUCUUUUGAUAAGUGUAAGUUUUAUUGUCAAUUAAGUCUAAUUUAUCAUUUUUUCUUUUAUUUUUUUUAAUUUUCUGUUUCCAGACUAAAAAAUCUUUUCAUACUCCUUGAUGGUAAAGACCAUCUCCUAUGUUUUGUUGAGACCUUUUUUGGUUAUUCCUUUUUGAAAGAGUUUUGGUAAAUGGUGUUUAAAACAUGUUCUAUUUCAUAUAAAUGGUAGAAUUUAUUGGCAUAAAACUGUUUAUAAUAUUUUCUUACCAUCCUUAGAGUGCCUGCAGAAUCUUGUUUGUUAUUCCUGAUAAUGGUUAUUUGUAUUUGCUCUCUUUCUUUUAAAAUCAAACUUCCUAUAUAUUUAGACAUGUUAUAAAUAUUUUCAAGGAAUAAAUUUC